ensembl:lncRNA
AUGACAGACUCUGGACAUGACUGUUCGCUUAAGGAGCUCCUUCUCCUCCUCAGCCAUGCACUGCUGUGCGCUCAAGGCCGUGCGUCAGAGCACUCGUCGACGCUCCCACCCCAUCUUCCAGCGGCCCUGCCGGAACCCGUGCUCAUCCAGGAGGCAUCUCGAGGACGUGUCGUGGAGCUGCUGUGUCGCACUCCUUCGGGUUACGCAGGGAUCCUCUUCAAGCUCUACAGAGAGCGGGAUUUGGUGAACAGCACCGAGUUCGGCCAGGACGCCCGAGAAGCCCGCUUUAGCGUGGUGAGGGAGCGCGGAGCACGGUGGAAACCCUACUGCUGCCUGUAUCAGAACAGCGACGGUGUGUACAGUGCCUUCAGUUCGUACCUGGAGCCGAGGGAUUCAACAGUGCCGUUGCCUGCGCCCACCCUCUCCUUUGCACGUCAGGACCCCGCGGACAGAGUCUUGCUGUGCGAGGGGUCGCCUUCCUAUCCUGGGGCUGAGUUCUUGCUCCUCCAGUUGGGCUCCUCACACCCCUUGGAGAGACAAACUGCUCCCCCGAUGCUCCACAGUGCCAGCUUUUUGGUGCCGGCUGACCACCAAUAUCUGAACGAGUACCAGUGUCAGUACAGUGUGCUCCUGGACCAACGCCGGAGGGAGUCGGAGCGCAGCCCUCCCCUCGCUGUUCCUAUUUUCACAAAAACUGCCAUGAAUACUUCGACAGCUGCUCAACCUCCAGCCGAAGAACACACAGGUGAUAUGAACGCAUCUGUGGGUAAAGUUUCACAAAACAGCACCAAAGCUUUCUUCCAAAGUGGAAGAAGACAGAGCGCUCUCUAAGUCUUGGUUGUCUUUACUGACGAGUCUUUUGCCGCCCAAUUUGUUGACCGCAGUCAAGCUGUAACCUCGUCACUAGUUCUCGUGCUGCCGGUUUUCACUGUGAUCUUUUGGCUGUGAAACUGAUGACCAACUGGGACUCACUCUCACUCUUCAUGGCAAAAGCACCGACAGACUGGCCAAUGAUCAUGGGCUCCAUAUCGGCAGUCGUCCUGGUCAUGGUGGUGCUGACAGCCCUGGGGUUCGUGGUCCGCUGGAAAGGUAGAUGCACGAUGAGCCUCCCGCCAUUGCAACCAUUUCAAUAUCAGCUAACUGGAUUCCUCAUCAGAUCUUCAGCACGUUGACUCUGGUUGAAAUAUUGUACAAGCUCAUUUUCCCAGAAAGCACAGCGUCAUGCUCUUGUGCCUCUGUACACACGCUCGAACCUUGACCACAGCACGGAUCUGUCCAUUCUCCCACUGCUCCUCACCUUCUGGUUGUCUUUAUCUUUCAGUCAAAGCGCUGGUGGCAGAGAGACAGAAAAGGUGGGUGUACAACCAUAGACGGACACACUCGAGUUGCACAUGUCCACACAACAUCUCCCAGAUUCCUAAGCUAACUGCAAGUGGAAGUGUUCCUUAGAGCCUUGUCUUGUGUUUAGGGAAGAGGCCCGUUUCUGGCAUAAUUUUCACGCCAUGGACCACGUUGUCGGUAAGCGCUUGCUUUGCUUUGUAGAUACGUGCUUAUUCUUCUUUAUUGAUGCUUUGGUCUAUAAAAGCUUUUUCGCCUUUUUUAAGUCAUUUAACAUUUUUUUUUUUUUUUUUUUUUUUUGAAUGAUCACCUGCCCCAAAGCUAAUGCAAAGCGGAAGAAAGCUCUAAAACGCGUCGUUUUGAAAACCUCUUGUUGACUGUCAUUCAGCUUUAGUGUGUGUGUUGUGCUCUUUUUCAGACCUAACCCUCAGAAGAGUCAGUGUUGGGUCUCAGGUGAGGAAAAGCUCACGCAUCUUCAAGUGUAACAUCGUCAAUAUCCACAACGAGCGAGCUGAUCUUGAAAGAUGCCUUGCGUGUGAGAAUGUCCUUUUGCAUCCGGUUGCUCAGUCUCCUUCCUUUCGCCAUCGGCCGUUAAAAUCACAGUCAUGUAGCAGCUGUUUUCAUUGCCGUCUAUGUGUGCGAACCAUCUCGCUUCCUCUUUCCUGCGCUCUUGAGUGAGAGUACACCUGUGGGGUUUUGGCACGAAGAUCGUAGCGCACCGGCACUUCAGGGGGCGGCACGCACCCCCCGCCGGGGCGGAUGCGGCGCAGCACUUGUUGCUGCCUGCGGAGAUUUUCGUCGCAUCUGUUUCAAGUUUGCUUUAAUUACCUGACUAAUCUGUUUGAUUAAGUGAACGCUCUCUAGACACCGACAUGUGACCCGCACUAAGAAUCCUGAUUCAACAUGGUGAAUUAUUAACAGAGCAGGGAGAAAUCUCCAUAUGGAGGCUGAAUGAGGGCAGAUUCGUAUAAACCAAGAGAAAUGCAGCACUACUGUUUACGUGCAGGAAAUUCAUUGACUGUGCCCCCACCCUCUGGGGUAAUUUUUAGGGUUAGAUCAAGUGUGUGAGAAAGGAAGAUCUUCAAAAGAGGGCGGCUUUGGUUGCUGACUCCUACGGCGUUGCCUUCAACUACUGUAUAUGACAAACAUUGUGCUGUCGGGGGAUGUUUUCAGUGUGUGUAUGAAGAGCUCGUUGAAAUGCGAGGGGAGCCAAGUUAUAGGGCGUGAUUUUUCACAAGGGACCCCUAUAUGUCCUGGCUUUUGCUAUAGCCAGACCUUUAUAUUUUUGUAUGAUGGGUAUCCAUGAUGUGGAUUUUGCAUCCACCAGUAGUUCUGCAAGAAUAAAUCUGUGACAUUUUUGCUUGUGUCA